UAUGUAUUAUUACUAAUUGACAAAACAUAUAUAGUAUUUUGAUUGUUAUUGCUUCAACCAAUUUAAACCGAUGUAUUUGGAGAUAUCGCUCAAUGGAUAUGAAAUUAAAUAUUCAAUAACUUUUUUCAUCCCUAUUUACUCUCCAUCAAUAGGUUUCUUGAUCAUGGUGAAAGAUAGGCAAUGAUGAUGAGGAGCAACAGUUACAACCAUGGUCAAUAAUGACAGGAAUGACUUAGGGCA
rnacentral:lncRNA from 1 species